rnacentral:rRNA from 1 species
UACGAAGGGGCUAGCGUUGCUCGGAAUCACUGGGCGUAAAGGGUGCGUAGGCGGGUCUUUAAGUCAGGGGUGAAAUCCUGGAGCUCAACUCCAGAACUGCCUUUGAUACUGAGGAUCUUGAGUUCGGGAGAGGUGAGUGGAACUGCGAGUGUAGAGGUGAAAUUCGUAGAUAUUCGCAAGAACACCAGUGGCGAAGGCGGCUCACUGGCCCGAUACUGACGCUGAG